GUUGCUGUUGUUCCUUCAGAUCCAAUGCAGCAGGCAACACAUCCGAAGUUAUCGCCAUGGUUUUCGGAUGCUUUAACUGGUUGAGGAGAGGGGGGGGGGGUCGCGACCUAUCCAGUCAGAAUAAUUUAAAAUAUAUAUAUUGUUUAAAUUUAUUUCAUUUCACUGUACGAUGAAAAUUUAGAUAUAUGAACAUGAUUAAUUAAUAGCAUCAUGUUCGCAAAAAACGACUAUAAUAAAAUGGGUCGCUACCCCCGAAUCCUAUAAGGGUUGAAGACAACGAAGACCACGGGAGCUGGUGUGGCGCCCAUGCCGUUGCACGAUCGGAGUAUAAGUUCUGUCCACUGUUAGGCCACCGAACGACGCCACGGCGGUCGUAUAGAAUGGAGUGUGGCAAACGGCAAUAUUAUGCGACGCACACUCGUGCACCCAUGUAACGUUAUAAGUACCUAACUGAAACUAAUUUUUUCAUUAUUUGUAAAUGCGCACUCGGUGUUAAAUCAAUAACGUCUAUAAAAUAUGUAAAUGUUUAAAGGUAACUUAUUUAUUAUAUUCAAUACAUUUAUUCUAUUUACCGACA